GACGAAGGGGGCUAGCGUUGUUCGGAAUUACUGGGCGUAAAGCGCGUGUAGGCGGUUGCCAUAGGCAGGUGUGAAAGCCUUGAGCUCAACUCAAGAAAUGCACUUGAUACUGGGCGACUAGAGGACCGGAGAGGAUAGUGGAAUUCCCAGUGUAGUGGUGAAAUACGUAGAGAUUGGGAAGAACACCAGUGGCGAAGGCGGCUAUCUGGACGGUUUCUGACGCUAAGACGCGAAAGCGUGGGGAGCAAACAGG
rnacentral:rRNA from 1 species